AGCUUUCGCUCACCAUCCACCACUGCUGUUUGCCACUGUCGCAGACCCACCGCCGACUCCCAUCCCUCUGGAUCCGGCAGGGUGUCCGCUGAGCUCCUGAUACGGCGAGACUCCCAUUGCCACUCCCGAUCAUGCUAAAGGCUUGCCAUUGUUCCUGCAACGUUAAGUGCCUGGGUUCGUCCUAAUCGAGCUGAACACUAGUCACUGGGUUCCAUGGUUCUCUUCCGUGACCCACGGCUUCUAAUAGAGCUAUAACACUCACUGCAUGGCCCAAGAUUCCAUUCCUUGGAAUCCGUGAGGCCAAGAACCCCAGGUCAGAGAAGACGAGGCUUGCCACCAUCUUGGAAGCGGCCCGCCACCAUCUUGGAAGUGGCUCGCCACCAUCUUGGGAGCUCUGUGAGCAAGGACCUCCGGUAACAUUUUGGCGACCACGAAGGGACAUCCAAAGCUUAUUGCCUAACGGUCCACAAUAAAACAUUCUCACUUUGGUAACUGUAUAAAAAUAGAAGUACAUUACAUAAAAAAGCUCACUAUCCUUGACAGAGAAGAAAGGACUUAGAACCGGAAUUCAACUUUGUGACCAUAAUCUGGUGAAGUUGAGAAGGUUGUCCCUCUGCAGGGAGGGGCCGUAUAUUUUGUGUAAGUCUCACAAGAUUGGUCAAGGUAACUUAAGAACAGAGACUGGAAGAUGCAACAUGCAGCUAUGAAGACAGACUUGUGGAACAGUUAAGUUGAGCACUCAUGAGAGACUCUGAGAAUGACUCCUCAAAUAUUCUGAAGAUACAUAAGUCCUAUCUGCCACACAGGACAGAGUGACUGAAUAACUAGAAUGUUUUAGAUCCCUGUGAAUCAGUAUUGAAUGUGGUGCCAGAAUAUAAAAAUAAACAAAGAAGUUACAAUAUAGUGACAUGGGAGCAGGGAAAUAUAACAAACAAACAAACACGUAAUUAAGUAACUUGAACAAUGAGUAGUUGUAUGGUAGAGGUAUAAUACAUAAAAUACCUUAAGAACACAGAGGUGGUAGGGCUGAAUUAUACCUGGAAGACUUCAAAACAGAGUUGGCUUUUUAAAGCAGGGUUUUGAAAGUUGAAGUGAUAAAGAGAAAACUGAGGCAAGAGGCCAGUUCUUCUGGGUAUCAAAAAUAAAUACAUAUUCUUGGACUGGCAUGAUGUAUUCAGGAAGUGAUGGGUAGUCCAGUGCAAGCAGUAUACAGCCAACAAAUCAGAGGUGACCUAACUGAAAAUAAAGGGAGCAGAGUGCUGGGAAAUGGUGGCUUUAAAAAGCAUAUAUUAUGAGUAUAUAUGGGAAUGAUCCCACCUCAUUCUUCUACUGAACAGGAAGAAACAGGAUGCUUUAUCUAGAAUUCCAGUAUGACUCCAAAUCUGAAAUCCGCAUCAGUGAUGGAAACAAUGAGUAGAUUUCCCAGGGACCUGAAUAUUAAAGAUUUCACUUUUAGACUCUGCAAUGUAGUAAGUUAGCAAAUAAUUAUAAAAACAGAAUUCAAAAUGUACAAAUUGGACUCAUCUACAUGACAAUACCCAAUUAUAAAUCCAAAUAAACUAGCAGCCAGCAAUCAAAAUAACAAAUGUCCAGAUUUUUCUUUAUUGAUUUUUCUAGUAAAAUGACCAUAUAUUUUGGUAGUUCAUAUGGUUUGGCUGUGUGUCCCCAUCCAAAUCUCAUCGUGUAGUUCCCAUAAUUCCCAUGUGUUGUGGGAGGGACCCAGUGGGAGGUGACUGAUUCAUGGGGGUGGGUCUUUCCCAUGUUGUUCUUGUGAUAGUGAAUGGGUCUCAAUAGAGCUGAUGGUUUUAAAAACAGGAGGUUCUCUGCACACGCUCUCUCUUUGCCUGCUGCCAUCCUCAUACAAUGUGACUUGCUCCUCCUUGCCUUCCGCCAUGAUUGUGAGGCCACCCCAGCCAUGUGGAACUGUAAGUCCAAUAAACCUCUUUCUUCUGUAAAUUGCCCAGGCUCAAAUAUGCUUUCUGUGAAAAUGGAAAAAUACUGUAAUACAAAGAGAG
rnacentral:lncRNA from 10 species